GGGCCAAAAGAAUUGCUCGAGUCCAAAGGCCAAAGCUCUACAUCUUCAAACACCAACCGGGUUUACCAAGCCAAGAAAUCAACCAAGGUAUCAAGAAAACAAGCAUCCAAAUUCAAACUAGAUGCAAAAUUCAGGUCAAACGCGAAGACUCACCCUCGGCGCCGGAAGAUCCCUCUCAGUGGCCGCGCAAGCAAACGCGAAUCCGUGUCUUGUGCUCUGUUGUUGAUGCGUGAUGAGGACUUUGUGUUGUUGAUGGUUAUGAAGAGCUUCAUGUUAUUGAUGACGAAGAGUGAAUGAGUGUUCUUGUUGUUGAUGACAAAGAGUGAAGGAGUGUUCUUGAGUAUGGAAAUCGUUGAACCCUCUUCUUCAAUUCUUUUCUACUAUUUUGUUCUCUUCGCCCUCCCCAAAAAAUCCGUGAGUUUCUUUUUCCUUCUUUUCUGUUAGAAAAUCUCAUCUACUCUCUGUUUUUGUUUCCGUUAGGAUGCCCUCCCCUUUUGUGAAUUCGGUUUCAGUCGAUUUUGUGGUUCUCUUGGUCAGUAGGGUUAGGAGUUCCCGUUCAGAAUCAAAGAGGUUUCAAGCCGUUGAGGGUUCUAAUUAUGUUGGUUUUGUUUUUGGAGGUUGGGGAGUGAAGUAGAGGGAGUUGAAAUUCGGUUUGAGGUUCUCUUGAUGGAAGGUUCCUCGAAGGGUUGUUGGAGUGUAUUGGUUUUUGCGGUUCCUUUCAGUUAUGGGUUGUGUGGAGGUUCUUUCUGUUAUGGAAGGUUGUUAGUAGGUUGAAGAAUAAAGGAGUUUGUUCGAGUUUGGAUUUGUUUAGAAGGGGUUGUUAGUUGGAGGGAGCAGUUAGAGUUGGUUCGAGUGAGGGUAGUUUGUGGGAGGUUACGGUUUCUGUUAGAGACAGUCGGGGUCGGUUCUGAAUCGGAGUUAUCAAUGUUGAGGUUCAAAAUUAUUUUGGAAGCAGUUAGGAGCUAUUGGUUGGAAAAGUUUCUGUUUUGGACGGGGAUUGUGAAUGGUUGAAAAUUGUUGUGAAUCCCUCUUGUGCAAAUCUAUUAUGGAUUUUUUUGAAGGUUAUGGUUCAGUUAUUUCAUGUUAUGAAGCAGCUAUAUUACAAGUAACAUUCUGAAAUUUUUGUUGCUCUUCAAUAGGUGUAUCCAUCAUUCCAGAGCUCCAACAUUGUUGUUGCGAGAUCUUGGAGCCUUUUUGAUGCUUAAAGAAUGGUUCCGAAGAAUUUCCUCGGAUUAACUCACAAGAAUGAUGGUCGAAGAGGUAAUGCAGUUGACUGCUUCCAAGCAGCUUAAAAUAUUUCCUUCUUGUCAUAAGCAAUAUUUUCAUGGUAAAACUGUAUAGAAAAAACUAGCUAGUGUUCAUCUGUUUGAUAUUGUUGUAAUUUUCAUUGUAAUGUAAUAUUUAUUAUAAUGAAUGGAAUUUGUAAUGUAAUUUUGAAAUAGAAUGGAUUUGUGAUGGUAAUUAGAACUCACAUUGUAUUUGAAUGGUUCGAAUGGGAAUUCAAUGUAUAUGAAAUGGUUUAUAAUGGAAAUGGUGAAUUGAAAUGAACUUGGUUAUGGUUUGAAAUAAGUGUGGUUAAAAAUGGUUAUGAUGUGAAAAUGAAUCAUGGAUUAAAAAUGAACUUUGGUUAGAUGGUUGACUUUGCUGAACUGGUUGACCAAAAAGUCAACAGUUGAUCAAAAAUUAACUUAGGUAAAAAUAUGUAUUUUCUUAUGGAAAAUUAAAUCUGGACCACAAUGCCU
rnacentral:lncRNA from 1 species